UCCAAAGGUGGAACCCAAGGGUGAUGGGAUU
rnacentral:piRNA from 2 species